GGCAUUGCCUCAGUAGCGGCGAGUGAAGCGGCAAAAGCUCAAAUUUGAAAUCUGGCGUCUUUGGCGUCCGAGUUGUAAUUUGAAGAAGGUAUCUUUGGGCCCGGCUCUUGUCUAUGUUCCUUGGAACAGGACGUCACAGAGGGUGAGAAUCCCGUGCGAUGAGAUGACCCGGGUCUGUGUAAAGUUCCUUCGACGAGUCGAGUUGUUUGGGAAUGCAGCUCUAAGUGGGUGGUAAAUUCCAUCUAAAGCUAAAUAUUGGCGAGAGACCGAUAGCGAACAAGUACAGUGAUGGAAAGAUGAAAAGAACUUUGAAAAGAGAGUGAAAAAGUACGUGAAAUUGUUGAAAGGGAAGGGCUUGAGAUCAGACUUGGUAUUUUGCAUGCUGCUCUCUCGGGGGCGGCCGCUGCGGUUUACCGGGCCAGCAUCGGUUUGGAGCGGCAGGAUAAUGGCGGAGGAAUGUGGCACGGCUUCUGCUGUGUGUUAUAGCCUCUGACGAUGCUGCCAGCCUAGACCGAGGACUGCGGUUUUUAACCUAGGAUGUUGGCAUAAUGAUCUUAAGUCGCCCGUCUAAACCCACGCAGACACACA
rnacentral:rRNA from 1 species